AAGAGUGUGUGUGUGUGUGGCCUGAUAGCAGCCGUUAGUUUGCAGGUUUUAUCUAACUGACUCGCGCCCUUAGCUAACCCUGGAACAUCGUCCAUCGUCCCACUGGACCCGAGGAGGGGGAGAGCUUCCAUCUUGCAAUCAACCGCACUGUGCACUGUACCUUCCGGUAUCCGAAUCCAGAUCCUUGUCCUGCUGUCGCCGUUGAGGUCUGCAAGUUGCAGCCAUUGAAGCUCCGCGUUGGCGCUGUGUGUGUGUGUGUACUUUUUACAAUGUUCCAACCCGUACAAGCCUAUAAUCGGGGCCGGGGGAUACUCAUUUCCUUUGCGUUAUUAACAUCGAAUAGCUCAGUUCAAUAAAUAGUCCAAAAAUGCAACGCUGAUUGGUUAAUUGUUAAUUUAUAUUCACCAUUCGAAUUCCGUUGGAAACAUUUGAAUUAAACAGAUAACUAUAUCUUCGUUAAGCAAAAUAAAACCCCUAAAAAUGGAUUAUUUCGGUGGAAGCUAUA